GACGAACGCUGGCGGCGUGCUUAACACAUGCAAGUCGAACGGAAAGGCCUGCUUUCCCUUGUGGAUUGCGGGUACUCGAGUGGCGAACGGGUGAGUAACACGUGAGUGAUCUGCCCCCAACUUGGGUAUAAGCCUGGGAAACUGGGUCUAAUUCCCGAUAGGACUGCAGGGUGGUGCCUGUGGUGGAAAACGAUUUUCUAGUGGUUGGGGAUGAGCUCGCGGCCUAUCAGCUUGUUGGUGGGGUAAUGGCCUACCAAGGCGGCGACGGGUAGCCGGCCUGAGAGGGUGGACGGCCACAGUGAGACUGAGAUACGGCCCAGACUCCUACGGGAGGCAGCAGUGGGGAAUAUUGCACAAUGGGCGGAAGCCUGAUGCAGCGACGCCGCGUGGGGGAUGACGGCCUUCGGGUUGUAAACUCCUUUCGACCGCGAGGAAGCCACCUGGUUGGAAGGGUGGUGACGGUAGUGGUAGAAGAAGCACCGGCUAACUACGUG
rnacentral:rRNA from 1 species